AGGAAUUUUGAUCUCCAAUUUCUUAAAGAUCUCCAUAUAGCAUCCAAACUUCUUUUUUUUCCUAUGAUAUUUUUUUGAGUGAGGAAGAGAUUUUUCAUAUGAUCUUUUCUUUUUUCCUCUCUUCCUCUUUUUCUUUUCUCUAAUUUUUUUUUCUUUUCUUACUUUUUUUCUUUUUUUCUUUUUUUUUCGUUCAACAACUUCUUUUUCUUUCUCCUCAUCUUUCUCUUCCUCACUCAACCUUUUUGCUUCAUCUUCUUCUAUGUUUUCCUCUUCUAUCUUUUUCACUUCUCUCUCCACCUUUUCCUUAUCAACAACCUCAUCAAUUUGUGUCUCCAAAUUCCUG
rnacentral:lncRNA from 1 species